rnacentral:lncRNA from 1 species
UCAUACAACGUGAAGCUUAAAGAUAACAAUGAAACAUCCUGGGGGCAGGAAUGGUGUCUCUGGAGCAAAAAGCUUCAACUAAUUUGUGGACACAAGUAAGAGGCUGUGAUAAUGAAAGGGGAAAUGAAACAUACUUACAAGAAUCUGGAUAGAGAGAAAGACAAAAGCUUCCAGGACUCACCACCUUUCCCAUGAUGCUCCACUUCAGCUCAAAGACACCAGACUUUGGGACAACGGUUGUCUCCUCAAGCCUUCGUUUUCUGGAGAGCCACUUACCAAACAUUUUCAAGCUAUGGAAACAAAUUCAUGGACUCAAGUCUAAGAACUCCUUCUGGAGAGCUACCUGUAACUUUCAACAUUGCUUCAAUGGAGAGCUGGGUUACUGUAUCUCAUGGAAACUUCCAAGAUGUAGUUAUCUGUAAGCUCUCUGAGUGCUGGAACCUGAAAAGCCAUCGGGAGUCAUCAUCUCAAUUGACACUUUUACAAAUCAUUCUGUACCCACCUAAUAAUAAUAAUAACAAUAAAUAACGAUGAUGAUAAUUAGCA